rnacentral:rRNA from 1 species
UUGGAGGGCAAGUCUGGUGCCAGCAGCCGCGGUAAUUCCAGCUCCAAUAGCGUAUAUUAAAGUUGUUGCAGUUAAAAAGCUCGUAGUUGAAUUUCGGGGUCAGUAGGUUGGUCAUGCCACUGGUAUGUACUGGCCUCACUGAUUCCUCCUUCCUGAUGAGCCGUAAUGCCAUUAAUUUGGUGUUGCGAGGAAUCUGGACUGUUACUUUGAAAAAAUUAGAGUGUUUAAAGCAGGCUAACGCUUGAAUACAUUAGCAUGGAAUAAUGAAAUAGGACGUUCGAUCUUAUUUUGUUGGUUUCUAAGAUUGACGUAAUGAUUAAUAGGGAUAGUUGGGGGCAUUAGUAUUCAAUUGUCAGAGGUGAGAUUCUUGGAUUUAUUGAAGACUAACUACUGCGAAAGCAUUUGCCAAGGAUGUUUUCAUUAAUCAAGAACGAAAGUUAGGGGAUCGAAGACGAUCAGAUACCGUCGUAGUCUUAACCAUAAACUAUGCCGACUAGGGAUCGGAUGAUGUUAAUUUUUUAAUGACUCAUUCGGCGCCUUACGGGAAAC